GAUGAACGCUGGCGGCGUGCCUAAUACAUGCAAGUCGAGAGAAGCGGGGACGGGUGAGUAACACGUGGAUAACCUCCUAUAAGACUGGGAUAACUUCGGGAAACCGGAGCUAAAACGGAUCCUUAUAGAUGGAUCCGCGCGGCAUUCGCUAGUUGGUAAGGUAACGGCUUACCAAGGCCACUAUGCAUAGCCGACCUGAGAGGUUGAUCGGGCACACUGGAAUGGAGACACGGUCCAGACUCCUAUGUGAGGCAGCAGUAGGGAAGCUUCCGCAAUGGGCGAAAGCCUGACGGAGCAACGCCGCGUGUGUGAUGAAGGUCUUCGGAUCGUAAAACUCUGUUAUUAGGGAAGCGGUACCUAAUCAGAAAGCCACGGCUAACUACGUGCCAGCAGCCGCGGUAAUAC
rnacentral:rRNA from 1 species